rnacentral:pre_miRNA from 1 species
GUAGUGCUCCCUCCGUUCGGAAUUACUUGUCACAAAAAUGGAUGUAUCUACAACUAAAAUACAUCUAGAUACAUUCAUUUCUUGGAUGAGUAAUUCCGAACGGAGGGAGUAUGUA